CGAGGACCUGGUGCAUAGCCAUGCAGACCCUGUGCUUGCUGCUUUCCUGCUUCAGUCUAUCUGCCUGCAGCUGUCAGAAAUGUGGCACAAAGUUAUAUGUUCAGAGCAAACUACCAGAUGUGGUCAAGAGACAAACCAAUAAGACCCUUCCUGAUCAUCAUCCAGUUGGUGUCAUGUCUCCCUCUCAAAACAAAACAGACAACAACAAAAACAAACAAAUAAAAGCAACAGCCAUGGAGUCUAGUUUGUGUUGGCUCACUAAUCCUGAGCAUGAGGCCUACCCUGGAGUGUGGUACGUGUACCAGAGAUCAGUACUUCAAAGAAAACAACUGAUUUUCCCUCUUCCAGAAGCAAUCAAAUGUCAAUACCUCCUUAGCUAGGGUUAGGAGGUGAGUUUGGUCCCGUAUUCCCUCCUCAGUGUUGGGAUUUUGUCUGGGUUGAGCUUGAACUUGUCCAACACAUACCAUAGUAAGCUUCUGAUGAACUUGUAACCUCUGAUCUUUCUUUUUGAAUCUGUCACUUUUAUUAUUUUAAUUCUGCAUCUGUGUGUGCAUGUGUGUAUACAUAUGUGAGUGUGUGGUGAUAUCUUACUUGUACAAAUGAAGCCAGUCUGGGGGUCAGAGAAUAGAGCUUGCCACUUGCUAAACUUAGAGGUCUGGAGGUCAGUACAAACAGACAGGAAGUGAGGGAGCUGGGAAGAAACAG
rnacentral:lncRNA from 1 species